GGUGUAAGUAUGGUAACAUAUUCAGCUGACCGAUACUAAUAGGUCGAGGACUUGACCA
rnacentral:rRNA from 1 species